AGCGAACGCUGGCGGCAGGCUUAACACAUGCAAGUCGAGCGGGCACUUUCGGGUGUCAGCGGCGGACGGGUGAGUAACGCGUGGGAACGUGCCCUCUGGUUCGGAAUAACUCAGGGAAACUUGAGCUAAUACCGGAUACGCCCUUUUGGGGAAAGGCUUGCUGCCGGAGGAUCGGCCCGCGUCUGAUUAGCUAGUUGGUGAGGUAACGGCUCACCAAGGCGACGAUCAGUAGCUGGUCUGAGAGGAUGAUCAGCCACACUGGGACUGAGACGCGGCCCAGACUCCUACGGGAGGCAGCAGUGGGGAAUAUUGGACAAUGGGCGCAAGCCUGAUCCAGCCAUGCCGCGUGAGUGAUGAAGGCCUUAGGGUUGUAAAGCUCUUUUAUCCGGGACGAUAAUGACGGUACCGGAGGAAUAAGCCCCGGCUAACUUCGU
rnacentral:rRNA from 1 species